rnacentral:rRNA from 1 species
GGGAGGUAGUGACAAUAAAUAACAAUACGGGGUUCUUCGAAUCUCGUAAUUGGAAUGAGUACAAUUUAAAUCUCUUAACGAGGAACAAUUGGAGGGCAAGUCUGGUGCCAGCAGCCGCGGUAAUUCCAGCUCCAAUAGCGUAUAUUAAAGUUGUUGCAGUUAAAAAGCUCGUAGUUGAAUUUCGGGAUCAGCAGGUUGGUCUUGCCACUGGUAUGUACUAGCUUGCUGAUUCCUCCUUCUUGUAGAACCGUAAUGCCAUUAAUUUGGUGUUGCGGGGAAACAGGACUGUUACUUUGAAAAAUUAGAGUGUUUAAAGCAAGCUAACGCUUGAAUACAUUAGCAUGGAAUAAUGAAAUAGGACGUUCGAUCCUAUUUUGUUGGUUUCUAGGAUUGACGUAAUGAUUAAUAGGGAUAGUUGGG